CAUGCAGGCAGAUGCAGGGGCAGAUGUAGUUUGUAGGCACCUGUCGGGCCGUAACUUCCGAAGGAAACAAAGCAGCCAAUUCAAGGAAACGUUUAAGGCAGCAGGACAGGGGGAACUGCAAAAUUCGUAUGUAAUACCUCUGCUUAUGUUUGGAUCCCUGUUUUUUUGGGUGAGCAACAAAAAUUUUGAAAGACACCGCAGCUACUCCUAUUAAAUUCAUCCAGCAACGAGAGGAUGGAUCCUUAACAUCUGCCUAUUUAAGUGUGCCAAAUUGCGUGGGAGCUUAAGAGCUACAUAGAACGAGUUGAACAUGUCAAAGGUUUUAUGGAUCUUUCUGGUCUCACCUAAACCGGUAAGCAGCGCACCCGUUUUGGAGGUUGAGGCAAUACCGGCAUUCGCGCUUGCUUUCUACCCAAGAUUAUCACGUUGUCUAAAAACAUUCGCAAUUUCAAAAAUCUCAAUUUCCUCGUUGCGCUAGUAAUCGUCAACAAGUUCAAGAAGUUUAACGGCCAAACACCUUAACAUUUCACCGUGUCACUGGUUGAAAACAUCCUAACUCUGCAAAGGUUUGAAUUUGAAGUCAGUGAAGAAGAGGCUCCACCAUGGGAAGAAUAUCUACAUGUAUCGGGAACGCGCGUCAUUUCUACUACUGCAAGUACGAUGCAUCCGACACAUUGCUUCUUGCGUUACAGCGUGCAGUUUUCUACAUCAGUUACUCAAGACAAACUUAUUUAAGGAACAUUUCACUGAGGUAUGAUACGCCUCGCUCCAUCUCUGCCGAUCUUUUGACCAACACCAUUGUUGAAUUGUACCUCGUCCUCCUGUCGCAAGAAUGCUUCACUCAGGAUAUUCAGCCACUCGGGAGAUGACCCAUUGGGUCCGAAGCAUCGGCAUAGCGUCUGUGGAAUCAAGAAGCGCCACAUUAGUUCCGGAGUCGCUUAGUCAAUUAUGAAGAACGAAAUUUAACAAGUGAAAAAACCUUUCUUUCCCCAGAAGUACGUCAUAGCUAACAAGUCUUUUACGGAAAAGAACAAUUUAUCUGCGACUCGUUCUGUUCGACGAUAUCAUGAAUCAUGUCCCCUGAAUUGAUCGAAUUUUCCACCAUAAUCAAGUAUGGGUCAUCUAUUAGUGAUGGUAGUUUCCGGAGCUGACAAGGCGACGUUAUUACGUUUCGUUGCCUGGAUGAAUGGACUCGUUAUUGCAAGACUUCACAUCAUACUUUGUUGCCGAUUUUGACCAGAGCUUCGUUAACUGCUUCGUAGAACCGAACUCAAAGGGAGAGGUUCCUGGAUUGUCUAAACGAGACUCGCGACUUUUCAUCAACCCGUUUUCGGAAGAGUUGAACGAUCGCGCUUCUACGUUCCCAGCCUUUCUCGAGUUGCGAGUUCAAAAGAGAAUCCUCGAUAUUCGAAUAUGGUGAGUCUUCGGAUUCCAAAUCCCGAUCCGCUGCGUAGCCCGAUGUCCAUCUCUCAUACGAACAACAGGAUCAGUGACAACGGCCCCUUCAAAUGCUGUGCCACGAGCCGAAGUCUACCUGUCUGGCCUCAUGAUACACAAGAUUUUUUGAUAAGA
rnacentral:lncRNA from 1 species